rnacentral:rRNA from 1 species
AUCUACGGCCAUGCUACCCUGAACAAGCCGGAUCCCGUCUGAUCUCAGAAGCUAAGCAGGGUCAGGUCUGGUUAGUACUUGGAUAGGAGACCACCGAGGAACACUAGGUGCUGUAGCCA